CCUACGGGGGGCAGCAGUAGGGAAUAUUGCUCAAUGGGGGAAACCCUGAAGCAGCAACGCCGCGUGGAGGAUGAAGGUUUUCGGAUUGUAAACUCCUUUUGUUAGAGAAGAUAAUGACGGUAUCUAACGAAUAAGCACCGGCUAAUUCCUUGCCAGCAGCCGCGGUAUUACGAAGGGUGCAAGCGUUCUUGGGAAUGACUGGGCGUAAAGAGGGCGUAGGCGGGAUAGCAAGGCGGAUGUGAAAUCCUAUGGCUUAACCAUAGAACUGCAUUUGAAACUGUUAUUCUAGAGUAUGGGAGAGGUAGGUGGAAUUCUUGGUGUAGGGGUAAAAUCCGUAGAGAUCAAGAGGAAUACUCAUUGCGAAGGCGACCUGCUAGAACAUAACUGACGCUGAUGCGCGAAAGCGUGGGGAGCAAACAGGAUUAGAUACCCGGGUAGUC
rnacentral:rRNA from 1 species